rnacentral:rRNA from 1 species
AUUGAACGCUGGCGGCAGGCUUAACACAUGCAAGUCGAGCGGGGUGAUGGUGCUUGCACUAUCACUUAGCGGCGGACGGGUGAGUAAUGCUUAGGAAUCUGCCUAUUAGUGGGGGACAACAUCUCGAAAGGGAUGCUCAUACCGCAUACGUCCUACGUGAGAAAGCAGGGGAUCACUUGUGACCUUGCGCUAAUAGACGAGCCUAAGUCGGAUUAGCUAGUUGGUGGGGUAAAGGCCUACCAAGGCGACGAUCUGUAGCGGGUCUGAGAGGAUGAUCCGCCACACUGGGACUGAGACACGGCCCAGACUCCUACGGGAGGCAGCAGUGGGGAAUAUUGGACAAAGGGGGAACCCUGAUCCAGCCAUGCCGCGUGUGUGAAGAAGGCCUUAUGGUUGUAAAGCACUUUAAGCGAGGAGGAGGCUCUUUUGGUUAAUACCCAAGAUGAGUGGACGUUACUCGCAGAAUAAGCACCGGCUAACUCUGUGCCAGCAGCCGCGGUAA